GCAGCCUGAUGCAGCGAUGCCGCGUGCGGGAAGAAGGCCUUAGGGUUGUAAACCGCUUUCAGGAGGGAAGAAAAUGACGGUACCUCCAGAAGAAGGUGCGGCCAACUACGUGCCAGCAGCCGCGGUGACACGUAGGCACCAAGCGUUAUCCGGAUUUAUUGGGCGUAAAGAGCUCGUAGCGGUAUUGAGUAAGUCGGGUGUGAAAACUCAGGGCUCAACCCUGAGACGUCGCACCCGAUACUGCGCAUGUACUAGAGUACGGUAGGGGAGACGUGGAAUUCCUAGGUGGUAGCGGUUGAAAUUGCGCAAAUUUCAGAAGGAACACCAGUGGGCAAAGGCGGCCUCCUUUGGGUCCGAUACCUUGACCCUUAAGGACCAAAAGCAUGGGUAGCAAACAGGAUUAAAUACCCCUGGUAUUCCAUGCCGUAAACAUUGGGCACUAGGUGUGGGUCUCAACCAACGAGAUCCACCCCCCUAACUAACUUCAUUAUUUGCCCCGCCGGAGGGAGUACGGUCGCAAGACUAAAACUCAAAGGAAUUGACGG
rnacentral:rRNA from 1 species